UCGAAGCCGGAGGAAGUGGGGAUGACGUCAAGUCAUCAUGCCCCUUAUGUCUUGGGCUGCACACGUGCUACAAUGGCCGGUACAAUGGGCUGCGAUGGGGUGACCCGGAGCGAAUCCCACAAAACCGGCCCCAGUUCGGAUCGAAGGCUGCAACUCGCCUUCGUGAAGUCGGAGUUGCUAGUAAUCGCGGAUCAGCAUGCCGCGGUGAAUACGUUCCCGGGCCUU
rnacentral:rRNA from 1 species